GGAUUGAGGGCUGAAACUCGCCCUCAUGAAGCUGGAAUUGCUAGUAAUCGCCAAUCAGCUACGUGGCGAUGAAUACGUUCCUGAGUCUUGUACUC
rnacentral:rRNA from 1 species